rnacentral:rRNA from 1 species
AGUCUGCAACCCGACUACAUGAAGCUGGAAUCGCAGUAAUCGCAGAUCAGAAUGCUGCGGUGAAUACGUUCCCGGGUCUUGUACACACCGCCCGUCACACCAUGGGAGUCGGAAAUGCCCGAAGCCAGUGACCCAACCUUAAGGAGGGAGCUGUCGAAGGUGGAGCCGAUAACUGGGGUGAAGUCGUAACAAGGUAGC